CAACCGCACUCGUGUGCGAAAGGGAUUCGCCAGUCAGCUCCGCGCGCGCCGCACCGCGUCUCGUCUCGAGUCGCGCAGGUCCACAAUCCCCACAGCACAAACCCUAGCCUUCCCAAACCCCGCAGCGCCGCACUCCCUCGUCCUCCUCCGUCCUUCCUCGUCAGCCAUCGCCGCCAUUCCGCCUCGCUCCUCUCUGUCCGACGACCAUGCCACCAGGAGGAAGCUGCCGCGCAAGAGGUCAGGGGCCGCCGCCACCGCGAGCCAGUGGACGACCGUUGCGAGCCUUUGGGCAGGAAGCCGACGGGGAGCACGCAACAAAGCCGCGGCUGCCGCCAGGGUCUUCUCGCUAGAGGUGGAGGAGCAGGGGAUCCCGCCAGAUCCGAGGCAUGAGGGCGCGGCGGCGAGCAUCUCCAGCAACGGGGGCGACCUGCAGGCAAACGGCGAUAGCUGGGGCGCACGAUUCGGUCCUGUGCCAUGAGCUUGUCCCUGCAGGAGAGAGAAAAGAUGUGGGGAAGAGAGAAGGAAGGAGAUGAAGGAGAAAGAGAGAGGAAAGAGGAGAGGAAGGUGCAGCGGCAGAUGGAGGAACACAAGCCGGCACAGGCCAUUCGCAUCUCUCCUCCUCUCCUGCCUUGACCACCACCGUGCCCCUCCUCCCCCCCUUCGCUUCUCUCCAUAUCCUCAUUCUUUGGAGCUAGCUGAUUGGUCAACACCGAGGAAGACGAGGAAGACAGAGCCAGAGGAAGAUGGCCCAGCCCUGCUGUCGACGCCCACCGGCCACCCCGUUUUUUUUUUUGUUCUUUAGUUUUGGAUCAAAGUUCUCUUUUAUCUUGAGUGUCCCUUUUUGGCAUAAAAUGGAUUCAACAACCAAUUUUAGCUAAGAACAAACUAUUAGUGAGGAAGGGCAAACUGACAGAGGUGGGCAAAACCAAAAAAAGGAUUGAGGAAGAGGUGGGCAAAACAACUUGAGCAAAGAGCUAAAUCACUAUGAAAUGCUACUUUCCAGUGAUUAAUUUCGUCCUUUUAAUUUUUCAGUAGAGAACUCAAAAGUUUAAUGAAGAUAGAAAGUUGCAUUUUAUUCUUAUCCACAUGGUUACUAAAUUUACAUUUUUAUCUGGAAAGAGGUGGCCUUAAACAAGUUAAUUUGCAUUUUAUUCUUAUUCACAUGGUUACUGAAUUUACUUUUUUAUUUGGAAAGAGGUAGCCUUAAAAAAAUAGAUUUUUUUACCAGAAUCUCUCUUAAACUAACCUGCUACAAAUAUAAAAUGGCAUUGCAUUGUUACUUCAGUGGGAAGUUCCUAUACAUAUUCUCUGUUUCUCCGGAAUUGGUUGAAAGUGUUUCUUCUGCUAUCCACUCUCUCACUAGGCUUGUUACCUUUGUUGCUGAAUUUUGCAUUGCUACAGAUGGAAGGCGUUGCGCUAUUGAAGGAGUCCAUCAAGAACUGGAGGCAAUGGCCUAUGACAUGGGGAGGUAUGUGCUUCAUGAUUGUUGUUGGUUAAUUGAGAGUAUGUGAUGCUCGAACAAAUGAUGUGCAAGCAGACUAAAUCUUUUAUCGACAUCUAGAACUUAAUGUUUCAUGUUAAGAAAAGUAUAUCCCAUAUUUCCCCUUAGUGGCAGAGAGCAUAUUUGAGCAGCUGACUGGAGGCUGGGCAUUUGCGUCAGUUUGAUUUGUUUGCGUAUGUUCACUGUUUUCUGUUUUCCAAGUGUUGAGUGGCUACAUUUUUGUUCGCUUUGCUGCUGUUGUGCUUGAUAUAAGAAAGACUAGGGGCAUGACAGUUGGGCAUGGGGCAUAAACAAGUCAUAGUAUCAGCGUCCAUGCCUAUAUGUCAGGUUAUAUGCCUUUGUAAUGUAAUCAUCCGUGUAUGUCAAUGGCAGUGGUUUAAAAUACGUAAGCUGAUGCAUCUUGUGCUUGCUUGUCACUGUGUUUCUACUAGGCAAGGUCUGGAAUAGAUUAUAUAUAUUCAUUCAAAUAUGACGUGGUCUUCUUCCUUUGCCUUUGUCAACAUAUUUAUUUGGGCGUUCCUUUUCUCUGUACUUUGUUUGGGCAGUGUUUUUCCCUACGCAUGUCCUUUUUUAUUAUAAGUUCAUGGGCUAAUUUGGUCAUAAUAUAACCCUGUCCUAAAAGUGCUCUUGCACUGCAGAAUUCUCUUAUUUACAUGUUUGGUCACAAUAUAGCUCUGUCCUAAAAUCCACUUUGCUUUCAGUUUGCAUCUGUACGACCCGGAUAGAUAUACUCUAGACCUUGAUAUAUGAGUACGUAAUUGAAGAAUUGGACAUCUUGGUCAUUGCGGAUUUUCUCUGUUCAUUUUAAAAAGAGUAUUACAAAUUUACAAUUCUCCGGGAGCAACACUCCUGAGGUAGCUAUUCAUCCAUGUUGCUUUUUAGAAAACUUGCGACCACAGAGGCCGAAGUCGCCACCCUGUAAUGUCGCGCUGAUGGUAGCCCAUACUGCUUUGCCGAUGAAUAAUAUUGUAACAGCUAAUGCUUGAAUUUUUCAUACCGCUUCAGCUAACCUGUGAAUAGGUCUGCACUCUGCACCUACAUAUUUUGAUGAUCGUACACUGCUGCCGUGGCUGGGCAAUAUGAUGAUAGUUUAAUGAAGCUUUUGAAUAUUCUAUUAGCAUAGCUCUGACAGGUAAGGAUACUUUAGGUUGUAGCUCAACUAUGUAUCUGUGGAUAUUAAUCUUACAACAUGCUAUUUCUUCUUUUUUUUUUGGACUUAAAAUUUCUGCGAAUUGUGGCUUAACUAUGAUACUUUAGGUCGCAUGCUCAAUUAUGUAUAUGUGAAUUGUGGCUCAGCUAUGAGGUUUUUAAUGAACGUUUCGAGUAUUCUAUUACUACGUCUUUGAAAGGUUAGGAUACUUUAGGUCUCAACCAUGCCUCUCCAUUUCCCGCCUUCCCCGCUAAGCCAGAAGAGGUGGUAUAAUGGAGCAAGCAUCAGGUGACAAGGCUUAUUUCUUUAUUUGGACCUAAAUUUCUGAGUCUGCUGUCAUAGACCUUAUGUUAAUAUCCAUUCCUAGUCGUACUCCUAUUAUUUUGUAUCACCAUUCUACAAAUGCUUCAGCUAAACUUUUCUUUGUUUGAGUUCUUAACGGUUUUGUCAUUUUCCAAUAGAAUUUGCUCCAUAUAUCAGCAGGGGAGGCCCCUACUGUAUCCAUCUAUAUAUUUUUCCUUUCGGAUGCACGUGAUGUGACGUUUAUUCUGGUGUAUGAAAUAAGUAGUUGAUUGUGUAGUCUUUUAAAUGAGCAAGGCAUGAGAGAAAGAUUAUUUUACCAUGGCAACCAUCUUUUAGUUCACAAUUGAGUUGAUGUUCUGUGAGAUCUAAAAAAUAAGUUGACAAUUGGCAUGGUUUGCAUUACAAGUGUGCGUGCCUCCUUUUAUUUGUUCUCUUGUUUUUCAAUUCCUUAUUUGUUAUGGCGCUGCUAGGAGGGCACGAGAGGGCCGACCGGGGGCCUUUUGCCCACGGCCGGGCAAGAGGGAAGGGAUUUCCUUCUUAAUUCUUGCUUGAUUAGAUUGAUACAUCUCCUCUCUUUAUAUAGAGAGGUUUACUUGACUCCCAAGCAAGCGACCCUUAUAACCAUGACUCGACGCAACACAAACCUAACACCUAAAAACAAGCUUUUUACUUCUCGGCUUGUUUUAUUACUCUCAACCUGAAAUGGACUGGGACGCUUUAUUUUGGACCCCUUAACAAAAAGUGGACACCAUCCGCACGUCGGACAUGCAUGUGUACAACCACCUGGAUCCCAUGGACACCAUCUGGACAAAAAGAGUGCAUGGGUAUGGCCACCUGGAAGUGGUCACAAGAGCGACCAGCAGAGGCGCGCCCUUGCAGCGGCCGGCGGAAUGCAGUGGUGCUACGUGGUGCGCUCCUGUCGGUGACACCCUGCCUUCUUCCCACCGGACGGCUGUUGGUCUGCACCGCACAGAGAAGAGUGGAGGGCUUGCGAUGGAGAAUGACAAGGAGGGGUGCGCUCCCCCCCCCCCCCCCCCCCCCAAACCGCCGAUGUCGUAGACUUUGAGGUCGCUAUUCGUGGGGACGAGAUCGAGGUCCUUUGUGCAACGAAGGACAACUGGGAGGAGCGGCAGCUGCAAACCACGCAUCUCCCGCACACGCCGACGCGCUAGGAGACCGCGCGCAGCAGCCUGCAGCCUCACCGCCGCCGACACGUGGUGGGUAGCGAUCCAAGCCGGAAGCGGUGACGGCGACGACGGGAACUUGAUCUGCUGGAUGGGGACGCCCUGGGAAAGCGGUGAUGGCGAUGGCGGGAACUUGAUCUGGUGGGCCGGGACUCCCGUCGGCGCGGUCGAUGUGGGGCCGGAGCUGACCGGCGGGGGCCGCUGCAGCUGCUGCGGUGUCGCGUCGGGCAGCGGCAGCGGCUGCGGCGGCAGAGCGCCGGGCGCAGCGGAGGCCACCAGGAGCGGCGGCUGCCACUGCAGCCAGGGCGGGGCGGUGGAUGGCAGCUGCAGCGGCCCGACGAGCACGGCAGAGGCCGCCAGAAGCGGCGGUUGCCACUGCAGCUAGGGCGGGGCGGUGGAUGGCAGCUGCAGCGGCUCGACGAGUGCGGCGGCUGCCACGGCGGCGCAGCCUGGUGCGGCCCGUAGGACCCGGCCAAGAACAGGCGGAUCUCCUGGACCGCCUGGUUUAGGUCCCGCGGCGCCCCGGACACUUCCUCCGAGGUGAGGACGGCGGGGGCAGGCGCGACGGAGGAUCCCGGCGCGGGCAGGAGCGGGGCGACGGUCGUGGUGGUCGGCGACGAGGUGACCGGCAGCGGGAGAGACGGGUUAGGCGGCGGUGAAGACAUGAUCGAACCGAAGUUAGCUGGUACCAAAUUUCUAUAAGGUUUUUGUAAUUAUGUUUAUGUUAGAAGGUUUAGAUGCCAUACUCUGCAUGGACUGUUACUAAAAGAAAUUUCCGUUGUUCUUAGGUACUAAUCAGGUUAAUGACGCCGCCGAAUAGCUGUCGUUGGCUAUAAUGUGAUUAGGUACCAAUCCUGUUAUUAAAGCUGUUAUGGUAUAUGCUGCUGCUACAUAAUUAUACUCUUAUGUGGUCAGCCAAGUGUUCUUCUAGAUCUACCUUUGUGUAAUGUAUAACUGAAGUACGACCAUUUUCUUGCAUAAACUAAGCAUACUAGGAAGAAUACAAUGCCAAAAUAACUGUUAAAAUUUUGUGCGGCAAGAGUAAAUUGCCUUUUCUGUGCUUCAGAGUAGAUUGCUACAACAGAAUGUUCACAGUCACUAUUCCAAGUUUUUUGUGUGUCAGCCUGUCAGGCCUUAAGAGUAAAUUGCCUUUUCUGUACAUUCUGUUUGGCCGUUUGUUUGUUCUUGUGGCUUCCAAAAAAGAACCCUGGAAUGUUUGUUCUGCCAGGGCAGCUCUCUUUGGCUAGGACAUUUUGGCUAAAAAAACAUAAAUGAACCUAAAAUGUAUUAAUAUUUUAUAUCACUUUUUGUAUUGAUGUCCUUCAUGCAUGCUCAUCUACCAAGAGGUCAAUCCAAUAAUGCCACGCGCUCUUCAUCAGGCGCCAAGCCCUCCGAUGCCCAGCCGUGCGCUGUUGUCUCUGCCUGAAGAAGGAUUAUGGUCCUCCACCUCUCUGCUACUCGUAUUAAAAUUCCGGUGUGUUCUUUCUUUCUUUAUUUUCUGUCAACAAAAAGGUGAACCUGUUCUUAAUUUCCCAUAAUGAUUUCAAUGGAAAUUUGUGAGUGUAUUUCUAGCUGGAAUUGCAUGUAUAUCUUACAAAUUUACAUAGCAACAAAUUAAUAAGGAGAAUAGAAGCAUUUGCGUCCAUCUAACAUAUUUGUAUGGUAUUUUAAAAAAAGCUCAAGGUUAGAGAUAUGGCGCUGUAUGAGGCUAUCAUUAGGAUGGAAAAUAAAUUAAUGUUAAAAUAUUGCUUGAGUUUCCUUCAUUCUGUAAACCGCAAUACAAGCUAUGUUUGCGCAAUGAUUCUAUUCCAAUUUUUUUUAACAACUGGCAAUUAACAACACAUCAAAUGUUCUGUAUUGAAAUGGAUCAUUUUGUCAGGUUGGGUUUAGUAGGUCAUAAUGGUUUUAUUCCACGACAGGGUUAAUUUUGUUUAUAUUGUAACCAGUUCAGGUAAUACAGGGGAAAACAACAUUUUUUUGGUUCGUUUGGUAAGAAUAGUCGGGUAAAAACACCAGCAUGUUGUUUGAGGUGCAUGCAUCGGUUGUAGCGAAGAUGUGCAUAUGACAAUACAUUGCUAACCAUGGAGCACCGCAAGGAUUUAGAAUAUGUACCGCAACUUAGAGACUUGACACAUUGCCACUUGCUCCUACCACCAUGCAAGUGGGCGAUGCUUUAGUGUUGAACUAUUGAUUAAUCCCUCUUUUUUCUUUAAUCUAUGUGAUGGUGCCCCUUAUCAUAAAUAAUUGUUAUGUGGAUUCAAUAUAAAGGAUGUUUUAAACAUGUUUGAUAGUUAUAAAAACAAAUGUCAUUGACGAUACAUAUUGCUAUUA